ensembl:lncRNA
GAUGACUUUUAAUGUCCCUGACAACCUCUAGACCCGUUUAGACACUUGUAAGCAACCACAUUUUCAACAAAAGUAAAACCUUAUAAAAAAGUGUAAGGCGGUAUUACUGAUGUAUCUCAUGUCAAAGAGCAAAGUGUAACUUCAUAAAUAAUAAAUCAUAAGUAGGGCCUGCCUCUGCUCCAGGACCCGAAUCUGCUUCUCCACGGCCUCUGCACUGAAUGCAGCUCGAACGUGUCAUCACCUGCACUCAAAGUGUGGAUCAUGGAGGGGAGUUCAGGAUUACAGCAGGACUACACAAAUGUACGUCUACACAGACACACACACACUCACAUAAAUCUUUAGUAUUCUUGUGUAAAUGUUCUCUAUUCUCUGUUCAGAUGCCUGUGAUCUCACAUUGGAUCCAAUCACAGCAAAUACUCGUCUCGUUCUUUCAGAGGACAACAGAAAAGUGAUGUGGGUAAAUGAGGAUCAGCCAUAUCCUGAUGAUCCACAGAGAUUUGAUGUGUGUCCUCAGGUUCCUCAACUCCUCAGUGUCUCUGUGUCAGACUGAAAGCCUGUGACCAGCAACAGAGACAUCACACACAUCUGAUUAAAAGAAAUACGCUCACUUUAUAUAAUCCAGUAUAUUGUAGUGCUAUGCAUAUUGUAGUGUAUAAUGUACUAUAGGCUAUAAUGUUUUAUAAAUUGUAGUGCUAUCAGUUACCCAGUGUAGUGGACAGCAGGCAAGAUGUCAACCCCUUUGCACACCUUGUGUGGAAAGUUUAAGUUUAAUUGAAUCGGAUUCAUGUGAACAACAAUUAGACACCUUUUUGGCUUCAUUUAAAUCAACACUACCUCUUGCAUUGUUGCCUUUUAUGUGAUUUGUGUAAUGAUGUUAAAUGUAUUUGUGUGGUGAAGCCAAAUACAAAUUUCCACUUGUGAUUAAACUAAACUAAACUAGGGAUGCAUAAAUAGACUAGAUUUUUGCAGAUAUCCGAUAUGCCGAUAUUUCUUUCAACUCAUUUUGGCCGAAAUAUAUCCUUUUGUUUGGAAACACCACAUCUCUCCUUUGUGGAAAUCAUAAACAAAUUAUUUUUAAUUAUUGUUAGUUUUUAACAGAAAUGUAUUUGUAAGAAUUAAAAAAAAAAAAAAAACAAUAAUGAAGUUCUUUUAUAAUGACAGUACAUUGAAAGCUUUGAAAAUAAUUAUAAAUCAACUAUCAAUUGCUGCAUUUUUGUAAUAUUAUUUUAAGAUUUAACAUUUGUAGAUGGUCUAAGGCAAAAGAGUUGUAAAAACUCUGAAAAUCUUUUAGAGCUCAUAAUUUGAUUAAAACAAACAUAUUACACAUUAAUGAAUGAAUCUGUGUAUAUAUAAUUAUUUAAUUUACAAGUGUCAUGUUUGUGAUUUUUUUAUUCAUGUAAGUUAUAGCUUCUGAUUUUUAAAUCAAAACAUACUCAUGGUUUUAUGACAUUGAUACUGCUUUAUUCAGAAACACAUUUUUCAUAAUUCGAUUAAAAAACAAACAUAUUAUACAUUAAUGAAUAAAUCAGUACAUAUACAAUUAUUUAUUUUACA